CAAACCGGUAGAGGCGCGUCUUUCAUCAGUAACCGGGCAUCAGAUUGCCAAAGUCGUUUAAAGGGCCGGAGAAAGGGACAGACGCCGAAGGGGAUGCGCUUGGCGGGCGCGCCUCUGGGGGUAUUUCCGAAAAGGGGUGCCACUGUCAUCAUUGCAGUAUGAUGGAGCGCUAUGGGGAGG
rnacentral:ncRNA from 2 species